GAUUAGCUAGUAGGUGGGGUAAUGGCUCACCUAGGCGACGAUCCCUAGCUGGUCUGAGAGGAUGAUCAGCCACACUGGAACUGAGACACGGUCCAGACUCCUACGGGAGGCAGCAGUAGGGAAUAUUGCGCAAUGGAGGAAACUCUGACGCAGCGACGCCGCGUGAGUGAUGAAGGCCUUCGGGUCGUAAAGCUCUGUCGCAGGGGAAUAAAAAAAUGAAGGUACCCUGUAAGAAAGGAUCGGCUAACUUCGUGCCAGCAGCCGCGGUAAGACGAGGGAUCCUAGCGUUGUUCGGAGUUAUUGGGCGUAAAGCGGGUGUAGGUGGCUUUGUAAGUCAGGUGUGAAAUCCCAGGGCUCAACCCUGGACGUGCAUUUGAUACUGCAAAGCUUGAGUGUGGGAGAGGUUACUAGAAUACCUGGUGUAGUGGUGAAAUACGUAGAUAUCAGGUGGAAUACCGGAGGCGAAGGCGGGUAACUGGCCCAACACUGACACUCAGACCCGAAAGCGUGGGGAUCAAACAGGAUUAGAUACCCUGGUAGUCCACGCCGUAAACGAUGGACACUUGUUGUUGGAGGUAUUGACCCCUUCAGUGAC
rnacentral:rRNA from 1 species